rfam:Aneurinibacillus migulanus strain DSM 2895 scaffold4, whole genome shotgun sequence.
AAAAAUAAAAUGCCAAAUCCAAUUGAUGAAAAAAUUGGAACGGGGGAACCGAGCAUUUGGGGUGAAUUCGCAUAUUAUGCGGUCGGGCGCCUUUCAACCGAACCCGUCAGCUAACCUCGUCGGCAGAGAAGAAAGGGAGA